ACCAAGGGUAUUAGGGAUAUUUUACCUUUUAAUGAAUGUCAUUUUUGUGACUUUCUCCUUCUAGUGCUAUUUUUGAGACAUAAACUUCAAAAGGUGCUAUUAUUGAUAAUUGCCCUUCCUAAAAUAUAUAUAUUUUUUCCUAAAUAGAUUUUAAUAGAGGUAUUAAUAUUAUCUGCAGUCGGGAGUACAUUUCACACUUCGAAUUUUAAGUGAUUCUAAAUCUCGUUUUUUUGUCUAUUUUGAAAUUUAUUUUCAAUUCAUUUAAUAGUAUUUUAAUUUGGAAUAUUUUAGAUAUUAUCAGUGUUUUUAAAACCGAACCCUGGAAUUUUUUUGGAUCAUGGAUCAUUGUGGUUACUCCUGAUUUAAUUGGGUUUAACUGGAUUAAAAUGAAUUUAAUGAUAUUUUGUAAAUAUUAUGCAUAUCAAAUAAAAUGUUUAAAUAGUCAUAAUAUUUAGAAAAACUUAAAAUAACAAUUAAUAUGUAACAAAAAUAAUAAAAAUUUAACAAAAAAAAAACAAAAAUAAUAAAAUAAUUUAAUAGUUUAUAUCUAAAAUCAAUAUGAAAAACAAAUUUAAAAUUUAUUCCCAUAUCUUAUCACUCUAUAUCUUCAUUACCUUUAAAAAAAUUAUAUACACAUUAGGUAGAAGUUAUAUUUUAAAAUAAAAUUUUCACAAACGUAAAUGUUUCAAUUAUUAAAGUCAUCAAACCAAGUGAUUAUAAAAUAAAAUUUAAACAAAGUGAGAAGCAGACAAAAAAUAUAUCUUCACGUGAAUAUUAAACUUUGUGAAUCUUGUAAUUUAUAAGUUGUAAAGACGUCAAAAGAAAAAGACGAGAGGUGAUACUUUAUUAAUUUUUAAUAAAUCCUAUUUUUACUUAAAAAAGAAGAAAACUUAAUUGUUUCAUUAACAAACUAUUGUUUUAUAUAUGAACCGGGGUUUGAGGUUCACUGGGUCAGAGGUUCCCGAAUUUUUACGGUUCAAUAGGGAUUUUUAACCGGUUCAAUUUAGUUGGGUUUUGGUAUUAACCCAACCCGAAUUAUUAUCGGUUUAUGGUUUAACCCGAUCGGUCCAGAUUUAAAAACACUGGAUAUUAUAUUACAUUAAAUUAAGUAUUUGAAUUCUUGUUCAGUUUUGAAAUAUUAUUUUCGGAUGCUAAUAAGAUAUUUGGAUUCUGUUAUAUAUAAAUGGAUGGUCUUGGGAGCAUGGUGGAUACUGGAUAGGAUGGGUGGCAAGCAUGGAGCAUGGUGGGUGGUAGCGGCCUACAGUCAUGUGAAAUGCCAUUCGGAGGUCAAUGAAAAUGAGCCGAACCAUUUCUCCUCACAAGACCACUUUAUUACGUAAACGCCCUUCCCCACAUGGGCAGUAGUGCUUACACAAACUAUUGUAAUAGCCCGUUUCCAGAAAUCAAGCUCGUCUUGUUUCUGUAGAUGUAAACAAACGUCUUCCUGUCAUAUGAUAUAAACUUUUGUUUCUAAGGGUUUCCUCUGGUCGCUUCAGUUCCAUGUCA